GUACUGUUGAAGUUGUCUGGUCCAACACUUUCUGAACUGUCAAUGACAAAUAUUAGUUCCAGCGGUGUUACUCUACAUCUGAUACCGCAACCACAUAUUUCAUUGAUAAGUCUUAUGACUUCUUCUCUCGAAAGACCAGGUUCACCUUUUCUUCCCCAAGCUCCCUUUGGUCCUGGAGGUCCUGGGUCUCCCAUCUCUCCUUUGGCACCUCUGCUUCCUGGAUCACCUUUA
rnacentral:lncRNA from 1 species